rnacentral:rRNA from 1 species
UGGGGAAUUUUGGACAAUGGGGGAAACCCUGAUCCAGCCAUCCCGCGUGUGCGAUGAAGGCCUUCGGGUUGUAAAGCACUUUUGGCAGGAAAGAAACGUCGCGGGUUAAUACCCCGCGAAACUGACGGUACCUGCAGAAUAAGCACCGGCUAACUACGUGCCAGCAGCCGCGGUAAUACGUAGGGUGCAAGCGUUAAUCGGAAUUACUGGGCGUAAAGCGUGCGCAGGCGGUUCGGAAAGAAAGAUGUGAAAUCCCAGAGCUUAACUUUGGAACUGCAUUUUUAACUACCGGGCUAGAGUGUGUCAGAGGGAGGUGGAAUUCCGCGUGUAGCAGUGAAAUGCGUAGAUAUGCGGAGGAACACCGAUGGCGAAGGCAGCCUCCUGGGAUAACACUGACGCUCAUGCACGAAAGCGUGGGGAGCAAACAGGAUUAGAUACCCUGGUAGUCCACGCCCUAAACGAUGUCAACUAGCUGUUGGGGCCUUCGGCCUUGGUAGCGCAGCUAACGCGUGAAGUUGACCGCCUGGGGAGUACGGUCGCAAGAUUAAAACUCAAAGGAAUU